CUCAGCCAUGUUUAGCCAUUUUUAAAAGUCUCACAGGUCCUUCCCCAGGUCCAAGAGGCUCUUCUGUGUCCUGAUGACAAGUAGCUGCCUAGCCGUGGUGGCACCUCCUAUCACAUGUUAAGGGACCCCUCCCCAGGGCCACACCUGGCAGAAGGUGGCUUAUGAUGUUCGCAGCUUGAAAGUAGUGUAAACCAAAGAUAAAAUUCUAAGCCCACUCCCCCAGCCAUCGGAAUGGACCCCUCCUCUUGGCCAGGGCACUCCAAAGUUAACCUGAAAAACCGGUUCAGGCUGUGAAGAGAAGGUGGAGUGGACAUGCCUCAUUUAUGUCCUCCUCCCUUUUGGAAUUCAGCAAAGCUGACCAGCAUGAACAUUAACACAGACCUUAAGUCUGAUUAGUGGCAUUUACAAUCUAUACUCUCUGAAGCGUGCUACCUGGAGUCUUCCUUUGCAUGAUAAAACUUUGGUCUCCACAACCCCUUAUCAUAACCUAGACACUCCUUUCUAGUGAUAAUAACUCUUUCAACCAAUUGCCAAUAAAAAAAUUUUGAAUCUACCUAUAACCUGGAACCUCCCCGCUCCACCUUCGAGUUGUCCUACCUUUCUGGACAGAAGCAAUGUGGAUCUUGCAUGUAUUUGAUUGAUGUCUCAUGUCUCCCUAAAAUGUAUACAAUUAGGCUGUGCCCAGAUCACCCUGGGCACAUGUUCUCAGGCCCUCCUGAGGUCUCUGUCUCGGGCCAUUGGUCACUCAGAUUCGGCUCAGA
rnacentral:lncRNA from 10 species